ACUCAAAUGAAUAGACGGGGGCCCGCACAAGCGGUGGAGCAUGUGGUUUAAUUCGACGCAACGCGAAGAACCUUACCUAGGCUUGACAUGGCCGGGACCGCCGGGGGAAACCUCGGCCUCUCUUCGGAGCCCGGCCACAGGUGCUGCAUGGCUGUCGUCAGCUCGUGUCGUGAGAUGUUGGGUUAAGUCCCGCAACGAGCGCAACCCUUGUCACUAGUUACCAGCGGGUCAUGCCGGGCACUCUAGUGAGACUGCCGGUGCCAAACCGGAGGAAGGUGGGGAUGACGUCAAGUCAUCAUGGUCCUUACGUCUAGGGCUACACACGUGCUACAAUGGGCGGGACAACGGGUCGCCAACCCGCAAGGGGGAGCCAAUCCCACAAAUCCGCCCUCAGUUCGGAUUGUCGUCUGCAACUCGACGGCAUGAAGCUGGAAUCGCUAGUAAUCGCGGAUCAGCUACGCCGCGGUGAAUACGUUCCCGGGCCUUGUACACACCGCCCGU
rnacentral:rRNA from 1 species